UAGGGUCCAUAUUGGGUUGCAUAGAAGUUUAAGUCAUAUCUUUGAAGCGCAUAACAACUUGUGUCAUAAUCAUCAUUGCGCAUACAAAUGAAAAGUCAUAUUAUAUUGUGUCAUACAUUUUUAGCCAUAAUAUUUGAUGACAUACUCAGCAGUUGUCAUAUAUUUUUUGUGCAUAUAGGUUUUUAUGACUUAAAAUUUUAUGCGAAUUAAAUUAAUGACUAUAAAAAUUAUGACAUAACUCAUUUAUGACAAAACCCCAGUUAUGCUCAGGAAUAAUUCUGACUAAAGAUUUUUAUGACUUACAAUUUUAUGCAUAAAGUGUUAUGACAAUUAAAAAUAUGACAAAAUUUGUUAUGCGACCAGAGGGAGUC